AGUAGCUCACUUGCUGUUUCUGCUUCUGAUUGUAGAUUAUGCGACAAUCUAUCUGACUUCAUUAAUGAAAUUUUAGUUAUUCUCAAAAUAUUCCUGCUAAAUCAAAAAAAUUCUCAACCCCCUCAUUUCUUGCUGCUCCUUCGCCAUCUCUCCUCUCUAAAACCGAAGUCUCUCAGCCAAAGCUCUCUCAGCCUCAGCCAAAGCUCUCUCAGCUCCCUCCGUUUAUCUUUCUUCUCUCUCUCGGACUCCCUCUCUCCAGAUUUCGUAGCUGGCUGAGACCGGAUCUGGUUGGAGCUCACCAUCUCUACAUCUGUGAGUUUGAGUGCCUUCGCGUUCUUGUUUUCAGAGCUUGUGCAGUACAAUCAGACACAAGUUGACAACAUUGCCGAGUUAGAACGGAGGUUGGAGGACGCAAGUUAUGCGGUUGGUGCUCGAGUUCUAGAACUGCUUUGCCAUAGGGAUAAGGUACAAUA